AUACGGAGGGGGCUAGCGUUGUUCGGAAUUACUGGGCGUAAAGCGCGCGUAGGCGGGUUGGCAAGUUGAAGGUGAAAUCCCAGGGCUCAACCCUGGAACUGCCUCCAAAACUGCCAGUCUUGAGUUCGGAAGAGGUGAGUGGAAUUCCUAGUGUAGAGGUGAAAUUCGUAGAUAUUAGGAAGAACACCAGUGGCGAGGCGACUCACUGGUCCGAUACUGACGCUGAGGUGCGAAAGCGUGGGGAGCAAACAGGAUUAGAAACCCCGGUAGUCC
rnacentral:rRNA from 1 species